rnacentral:rRNA from 1 species
UACAGAGGUCUCAAGCGUUGUUCGGAUUCAUUGGGCGUAAAGGGCUCGUAGGCGGCGGGGUGAGUCGGGUGUGAAAUCUUGGGGCUUAACCCCGAAACGGCACUCGAAACUGCCCGGCUGGAGGGCCGGAGAGGAGAUCGGAAUUCACGGUGUAGCAGUGAAAUGCGUAGAGAUCGUGAGGAAGACCCGUGGCGAAGGCGGAUCUCUGGACGGCUAACUGACGCUGAGGCGCGAAGGCCAGGGGAGCAAACGGG